UUUCCGUAGGCGAACCUGCGGAAGGAUCAUUCAUAAUAAGUGUUUUAUGGCACUUUUUUAAAUCCAUAUCCACCUUGUGUGCAAUGUCAGGGUUGGUCUCUUUUGAUCAGCCCCAAACAUCAACUAUUAUCUCUACUCUUUGUCUGAGAAAUAUUACGAAUAAAACAAUUCAAAAUACAACUUUCAACAACGGAUCUCUUGGCUCUC
rnacentral:misc_RNA from 1 species